rnacentral:lncRNA from 1 species
AUGAUGUCUCAUGCUACUCACCUGAUUUACCAUCAACCAUUUUACAUUUGUCUUCUUCACCAUAGAUCCGCUAAAAGAAGAGACGGAAAAACAGAACAUCUUACUACUCAACGGUCUCUCUCAGGGAGAAAUCUCCAACUCUGGUCCCCCACCAGCAGCAGAGGGAACUGUGGAGUCAGCUUUACCCCCAUGGAGGAGCUACCCUCACCAUCAACACUUUGGCCAGCACUAACAGUGCCACCCCAAUCCAUCACCUCCUGUGCUGCACCAUCUCACUCCAUCCACUCUGGCUCUACACCCCAACCCAUCACAUCUGGCUGGACACCACAGGGCUCCCAAGUCAAUCUGCUCCAACAAAUCCUGGACAUACAGGAUUUGUGCCUCAGCCACCCUUCCUCUGGGAACACCAUCAGCCUCCAUGUCCAGUCCCUUCACAUUAAUAUCACCUACUGCACCACACUUUGAUUUCUUAUUUUCCCCAUUCCCAUUACCGGUAAUCACAACCCAUUCCACCCAGCCAUCACAAACCAGCCCUGCCUCAACCUCCCCUGACUUAACCAGCCCUGCCCCAACCUCCCCUACCUUAAAAAUUCCUGCCUCAACCUCUCCUACCUUAACCAGCCCUGCCCCAACCUCUCCUACCUUAACCGUUUCUGCCCACUCUCUCAUCCCUCCAAUCUCCGGAUCUGUUAAACGGCGAGUUCAGGAGACAGUCCGGCCUUGGCCUGGACCCACUGCCAAGAAUACAAAACACCAAUAAACAAAUGUAAUAAAAUACAAGUUUCUUUUCUUACAGCCUCUUCACACUUUCUACACAGUACUCACAUGUAAUCGUGCGUACUUGCUACGUAGAGAGAGUGGAAGGAUGAUAGGUCCUCCGGAAGUUUAGUUUUCUUCCAGUUCUGUGUAACUGUUCUGUUAGCAACCCUGUUCUGUUAGCAACCCUGUUCUGUUAGCAACCCUGUUCUGUUAGCAACCCUGUUCUGUUAGCAACCCUGUUCUGUUUGGGAGUGAGAGAUGU